GGCUGGACAUGCCAGCCGCUUCCAGUAGCGGCACAGAGCCAGGGCAGGCAGGGAGCCUGCCUUAGUCCUGCUGCGUCACCAACUGGAAGCCACCUAAGUUUGAAAACUUGGAGCUGCUUCCUUUUUGACUGGGAUGGCAACUAACACAAAAUGGGGCAUUUAGGGAGAAGAUCAGAGGGGAUCCUGGAGAAAAACAAUAUAACAGAUAAGUGUCUUUCUUGCUACAGUAUUUAACACUUACUAUUUUAUUGAUACUGAAGAUUUAAACUUCAAAGACAUGAAUCUCACUAAAAACAUUUUAAUUCCACUGGUUUUUUUACACUUUGUCUCUAAAGAUACACAAGUGUCAAAAAAAGGUAAACAUUUAUUUGAAUUAAUAAAGAAGUUAGGACAAGUGAUUAGAACAAGGGAUUUUACACCCAGCCUCCUGGGUUCUGUUCCCACUUAAAUGUGAGGAUAAUUAUACUACCUACCCUACUAUUUCUUGACUGCUAUUAAGUCAAGGACACCGUAAACACACAGGGAGGUGUAGACACAUAAUGCACCAGAUAACAGUACUACUAACCAACCCCCAGCAUUAAAAAUAAUGGGGAAGACCCCUCCCCUCCAAAAUCAUGAGUGGCUAAAAAUAAUUUUUAAUGGUGUUCUGUUUAUUUACCUUUUGACUGGAGCCUUUGAGUCACAUUUCUUGCAACCAUGAGAGUGAAAGUUUUCAUACUUUUUUAACAAAAAUCUAAGAUUCUCAAUUAAUAACCUGAUUCCAGCAGCUAAGGCUUAAAGAAAAACACCAAACAUUGAAAUACUGACAAUAAAAUUGCGAGAGAUGGCAACACUGAAGGCUGGUGCAUUUUUAUCUCAAGGCAGUGCCAUGGUCUUUGCUUAACUUUUUAUUCUUGGAGACUUGUCUUUAUUCUACAGCUAGGAAAGCGGAGGCCACAACAUUAAGCAAAACUGCUCAUGAUCAGGG